ensembl:lncRNA novel transcript
AGAAACAAUUUUGGCCUCAGGCAGGUCCAGGGAAAUCAAAUCCACCUACCACCUAGAUCUUCAGAUCCACAACACACAGCAAGUUUCAUGCCUGUCAACUGAUGUGCCUUAAGGGAGCAAUUCUCCAACUCUCAGGAUUAACCUCUACCGUCUCCACCAUCUCCACCAUCAUCAGGACUCAGGUCAUCUGUUUACAGCUCUCUCUGUGUCUGAUAACUUUGACCCAUGUUAGCUUGGAGCUCCAGGAUCAGGGAUCUUUCUGAGGCACAACCAUGCAACCUUUGUGUCCAGUGACAUGGCCAGUGAAGAUCUACAGUUUGAUCUUCCUUGCUUUUCCUGUUCUGCCAAGAUGACUCAGGAGUCUCAGUAUUCCAGAAUGUUCAGCUACAAGAUUGUGGAGUUUCCGUCAGACUGGUUAUGUGAACCAGGACUGGUUAUGUGAACCAGGACCUUCCCCCAACUACUUAAUUGAAACCUGCACUGGACCUCCAGCAGCAGUGAGAAAUAACUUACCAGCUAUCAAGAAAAGUUUUAAUCUUUGUCAUGAUAUUUUUUCCACUCAGCCUCCAUGGGGUUCAAGCACUCACUCAAUAGACAGCCUAUACUGUAAAUAUAAUUCUGCCCCUAUAGCUCAUGCUUAUUUAUGUAAAUUGUUUCUCCUUAUUUGGAAGACCAGGAAAAUUUAUGCUCAGAGCUUAAAAGUCUCCCAAGUAAAAUAAAAUUGGUAUUGAAAAUCUUGUAUAAA